AAUUGCAUUUUCAGCUUUGCCUGCAUUUGCAUGCUUCUGGGAGUCAAAGCAUAAAAUCACAGAGGGCUGCACUCAGGCUUUCCCUCGGUGUGAAUUUGUCUGAUGCCAUGGACAUAAAAGUCUCAGUCUGUACUCAUGAGUCUGGACCUGUAUGUGCCUCCCGAUUCUGAAUUUCUAUAGCUCUGUGCUUUAACCUGUUGAUUCUGUGUUUUAUGAAUCAAAACAAAGUACCUCUGUUGCAAAAUAAGUCAUUUUAAUUAAACGGUUGAGUAUGGGGCACCUGGGUGGCUCCGUCAGUUGCCGUCCAACUUAGGCUCAGGUCGUGAUCUCGCGGUUCGUGGGUUCGAGCCCCACAUCAGGCUCUCUUCUGUCCGUGCAGAGCCCCCUUCAGGUCUUCUGUCUCCCCGUCUCUCUGCCCCUCCCCUGCUGGUUCUCUCUUCUCUCUCUCUCUGUCUUAAAAUAAAUAAACUUAAAAAAGGUUGUGUAUGUGGUAGCAUUUUAUGUUCGUAUGUUGAGGGGAAGAGAAAUAAAAUAAAUAGUGAUAAGGUAUAGAAAACUAACGUCGUGCAUUAAACGGAAGGACUCUAGCAAACAAAAUAAACAAAACAAAAAACCCAAAAUAAGUUAGUAAUUUCUUUUGCCUGGGGGUCAUCAACAAAAACUGAGUCUCCAUCCCUCAAAACCAGAAAUCGGGGACUGGGCAGACAGUCGAUUUUGUAAAGGUUUCUCUCAUUUCUGAUCAGUUAGUGGAGGGUCCGCUCUCUUCUUUGUCUCCUGUUCAGGGUCACAUUAUAAUUCUCUUCCUUUAUGCUAGUUCCCCAUAAGUAAGCUUUAUUUCAGAGCUGUUUCCCAGCUGAUGGCCAGAUUUCCCCUUCACAGCUUCUUUGGUAAAGAUGUCUGCGCUGGGUCCCCUCAGAGAGCUACCUGCUGACAGCUGUCUUGAGAAACUGUCCUGAGAUGCCUCCAGAGCAUAAUCGGGGACUUUGCAGAAGCGUCCAUGUUUACUGAGGUGCAGAGGCCCAGGGUCCCCGCCUUAUGAAAAGUUGAACCCCUGAACAGUUGGCAGUUGUUCCCAAAGAUCUUAUCUGGCCCCAGACAAUUCCAGAAGGGAGUUCCAGAGGGGAAACUGACGGUUUGAUCUCUCUUCUGCCUGAGGUCAUAGUUGGCGGUGCUCUCAACGUCCGAGGGGGCUUCAUUUCCCAGAACAGAUUUGAUUUCCUUUUAACUGGUUUUGGUUCCUUACUUUAGGCUCUGAGAACCCACAGCAGGGAUUAUUGUGUUUGUUUCUCUUGGCUUGAUGGGGAAUUCACUGGAGAUGGGGAAUUCUGACCGGGGUUACUUACAUGAUACGGAAAUGCGCAAGAACGCACAGCUAAGGCCUGCACGGCCCAGCCUCACUUGUUCGUGGGGGUCCACGUCACCUUCCGUCCUGUCCUCCUUCAGAAGGGUUCGUUCGCCCGCUGUUAUUUCACUCUCUCAACAAAAUAGUGUCAAUCCAAGUGCAUUGACCUUAGUGGUUGAACUUGAGGGUGGUAGGCUGUAAUUUUAUGUUGGAAACCCUGGAUCCCCAGACUCCUGCUCCGUCCUGAAAAUGGGCCAUAGAUGGAAUGCUCAGCUGUCCUCUGUAGCUGUGGAAUGCUGGGCGGCCUCUUAAGAGAGUUUGGCUUGAACUCAUUCCAUUAACCUCAUUUUCCCUCGGAUCAAACUCAUUCUUUUCUGGCAGCGCCUGGCUUUUCUGGUGUGUUAGGCAAGUUGUGUGACCAUUCAGCACUUUGUUUGGAUUAAAGUUUUGCUUAGUGAUGCUAGAGAGCUCCUGAUGACAUUGACCCCCUCCCUUUGUGCAGGUCCUUAUAUGUUCUAGAGCCCUUCCGCCAGCUUUAGCCCUGGAAGGCAGAUGGUGUGGCCAGCAGUGCCCAGUGAAGGAAACACAGUGCUCUGCAUACCUGAGAGUCAGCUUAAGGAUUCUUCAUGAGCUGGGAGACUUCCUGAGGCUUACACAGAUCAUUAUUAAAACGAAGAGCGAAAUAAGAACCGCAAGGAAGAAAAUAAGCCUAAGCCGAAAGUGUUAACAUCUCCACUUGAAAGAUAUUUUUUUGGGCGGUCCAGCCAGUAUACACCUGUUCACCCCUAGGAGGACUUUAUGGCUCAAGGUGAUGGGGACUUUGAGUAAGGAAUUCCCAAGAUCUUGGUGGUCCGCUUCAUUUAAGAAAAAGCGAGUGUUUUGCUUAAAGCAGUGGGUAAUGAUGGCUUCCAAUAAAUAAUUCCUGUAUAAGCCGUAGAACAGCUCUAUCACUUCGUCUUCCAGGUCAAAGAAACAAGUUCUUGCUUCUGUUUCAUUAUGCUUUGGUUAACACUGCCUUACAGAGCACCUGGGUUCCUCAGUCAGUUAAGCCUUUGACUCUUGAUUGGGUUGUGACCCCAGGGUCGUGAGAUCAAGCCCUGCGUUGGGCUCUACGAGGGCUGCGGAACCUGUUUGAGAUUCUUUCUCUCUCUCUCUUACUCUCUCUCUCCCCCUUUUGCCCCUUCCCUGCUCGCCCACUCUCUCAAAAAAGAAAAAAAAAAUUGCCUUAGCAAAGAAGCUUCUAGAUACUCGGCCCACAGCAAGACCUUGUAGGUAGGUGCUGUAAGCGCUGGGGCGUCUUCACUCCUUCGGGUGAAUUUCUUCACAACCGGGUGUUGUAGCCUAAUUACAGGUUGACUUGAAAUGCAGUACCAAGUACAACUAAAUACACUGCGGCCGACUUUGCAUUUAUGUUUUCUCUCCUGCUCCUACUUGUGUUACAUGUGAUCCUCCUGUGCUCAAAAUAGAAUGGGGUAUUGCUGACUUGUAUGCUCCUCAAAGCAGUGUUCCAGAGACAAACGUGCCUGGGAGAAAGGAUACAGUAAAAGUGGUGAGAGUAAAAGCCCUUUAAGAAGGUGUGUUUAAGCAAAAUUAAUUCGUAUCGACUUGGGUGAAGAGACCAACGUUCCUCUUCUGUAUUCCCAGGGUGUUCAUAAAGCAGAAAGGAGACCACUGAGUUUUCUGAGCAGGAGUUAAUGUAUUUACUAACAGGAAAUUGUUUCACGAAACAUUAUCUGUUUUCAAAGGCUAAAGCUACCCUAUAAAGGACCCUGUAAAGGUGCUGCCCUGUUUUAUUUUGGGGGGGGGCGGGAUGGGCACACGGUCUGUCCCCACACUGUGCUCUGACUGGCAUUCCUCCAGGGACCCUCUCCUCGAUGACAUUUUUGGAUCUCCUUUGCCCCACUGCAUAUGGCUCAUUCCCUUCCAUGCAUUUCUCCCCAGAGCUGUUUCUGUUCCUUUCUUGAGGUCUCAUGCCUUUAAUUUGAACAUCAGUUUUCCUCUUUGAGUUAAGACAUAAUUCUUCUUGGCCGAGAAAACUGUGGCACCUUUGAGUGUUCCGGUUGGUGUGUGAAAGCACAAAGAAUAUUCUUGUUGCCGUUUACUCAUUACGGUGUUACAAAUGAAAACCCAACUCUUCUGGCCAAUUACUCUCUGCCUGACUCUGUAAUCCUGAAAGGCAGGGUCCGGAGCUCCGGGCCUUGCCUUGAUCCCCUCUUCCAUCCACUAGCUGUCUCCGGCCAUCAAUGCGAUGCUUCUCUUCUCCUUCCUGCAAACCUUAAUUCCUCGAAGGUCCAGUUCAUGUCUUUUUCCUUCACAAAGUCUUCACCUGCCCCAACUCUCGUGGGUGGCUCCUGAGGUUACCUCCGGUUUCCCCCGUCGUUCUGACACUUGAACACUUUUAAGUGGUUAAAUUCAGUGAGCGCGUUAAAAGAACAUGGUGUGCCCCUCGUGCAAGUUCUCCGCGAGCAGGUCUUGCUCUGUCGUGUUCCCCGUGAAGCUAAGACGCGUAGACAGGAUGGUGCCAAAUUCGGUUUUUUGAAUUUGGAUCUUCCUCCCCGCCUCAUGAUGUUCCCGGAGGUAGUAAUUCAGCGUGGUCACCAGAUCAAGUGAAACACAGUCAGUCUUCUACGGGGACUUAAGGUUGGAUGACACCGGCCGGUUGGAGAGGCCGAGCUAUGUCUUCAUUCGCUUAUUCGACAAAUAGAUCUUGGAUUCUUCUGUGGGUCAGGUGCCUUGCCAGACACCAGCGACACCACAGUCAACAAAACAAACUGGCCGUCAAGUAGGGAGACAGCCUGUCGGCAGAGAGCCAAAUGGGUAUAUGACGACACGUUGUAAUAAAUGCUUUGAAGCAAAAGAACAAGGAUUGCAGGAAUAGUGGCAGGUGGGGACUUGAGUUCGGUGGGGGAGAUCUUCCCAGGGAAAUGAUUUGAAGCUGGACCUGGAAAAUGGGGAGAGUCCACUUGGGCAAAGAGCUCAGGAGGAGCCUCAAGUCGAGUGAGCACCGUGAGCUGAGUUCCUGAGGCCGGAAACGGUGGGCUGCAUUUAGCAGAAAGGAGGCCGCAGGACGGCAGGUGGCGAGCUCCGGCACCCCCGGGUGGGGAGCGUGGAGACGGAGCCAGGUCCUUGCUCGGGCGUUGCAUUGGGAAGAAGGAGGUGAUACUCUGGAAGGCUCGAGAGGAUUUUAAGGGGGGUGUGGCAUACCCAGUACACACUGAACGAUCACCCUUGGGGAGUGGACAGGGGGAGGAAGGUUGGAAAUGGCUCCCCGAUUAGGGUGCCACUGCAGUCACGCCGGAGAGAGGAGGCUGGGACCCAGAGGGGCGUGGACGUGAAUUUCAAAAAUCUUUCAGAAGUGGAGCCAGUAACACGGGGAACAGGUCAGGCUGGGGGGCCGAGGGAGAGAGCCGUGUGCUCCGUGCUCCCUGGGUCCCCGAUCCUGGAAUGAGGACGGCCAGCCAAUGAGCAGGUUCUCUUGGGGCUGCAUCUGUUGCGAGCUUGGCCGACUGGGUUCUGGAGUGUGAGAAACACAAGUUUUGGUUUGUGGAUUUUAAUCAUUUCAACUCCAAUACCAUUUUGUUGGUGGUGGUGUUGUUUUUAACUCUCCCUGAGGGCAAAAAGAGGUGGGGCUGCAGGCUCACCAGAAAAAAGUCUGUUUGGGGGUGGGACCUCGGCCAGACAGCUGUGCUUUUGUUCUGGUUAAUUUGAAUGGACAAGAGAACACAGGCUUUCUUCUGAAAAUCACAUCUGGAGACAUUGUGGACAUCAAACUAGGUUUUUUGUUGGUUGGUUAGCAGAUUGAGAACGAGGUGAGAAAUAUUUUUACAAGUGAAUAUAAUUAGAGGUACAAGCAUAUUGGUUUGGAGAAAUCAGAAUAGAGUGUUCAUUUGACAGGCAGGAAGUUAAGACUUGUGGGCAGUGAUCAGGUUUUGUUCUGUGAUCAUUCUUUGCACAGAGUGUUAGCUAUUUUAAGUGCUCUGGAUUUUUGAAAUUCUCCAGUAGUUACUUUUUGUUUGGAGCAGGAGAAAGAAAUUUAAAAACAAAACAAAGCAUUUGCAAAUUUCAUAGUAGUGUAGCAAGCUGUCCAAUGAAGGUAACUUUGGCCAUUAAGUCGCAGGAAAGGACAAAGACCUGUAUCUCCUGUCUACUUUCUUACAUCCAAAAAGUUAAUUUAGGGACUGCAAUAAUAGGGGAUGUCUGUGAAAUAAUGUAGUUUUCAGAAUAUGGACACACGGGGGUAUCAAAAGCCCUGAACAUGCGUUAUCUUUUAUCCUGAUAAUUCUGAAGCAGACACUGAUCAGGGGUGCAAAAUGUAGCAGUAAUGUCUAACACCUAGCAAGUUCGCAUUCUGUCCCAUUGUUGAAAUUGCUUACGUGUAUGUUAACUCAUCAGUACACCAUUUGUCCUGUGGAACAGGCGCUGUUGCCAUCCCUGUUUUACACACGCGGACAUUAAGGCUUGGAGAGGUCUGUAACCUGCUGUAGGUCACAGAGCUACGAAGCAAGCAGCCGGUGUUAGAAGGCUGACAGGGCCUCCGGAACCAUGCCUGCAACUUCUAGUCCGCCUCACUGCUCAUUGCCUAUGGCAGUUUAGGAUAACAUUCUUCAUAAUGGUGAAAAGCAAGAAAUGACUUAA